CGGGCGGCGGGCGAUGCCCUUCCGGUGGCCGGGAUGGGCCGUAGGUAAGGCCGGGGGUGACGCGGGGAGGCCGGGCCUGGGGGAGGCCGGCAGCCCCCGGGGGAAAGCGCAUCACCAGAGAACCGCGGGGAUGGCCAAGGCGGCCAACAGCAUCCUGGCCUGUAUCGGGAGCAGUGAGGUCCAUGGUAAGACCACGAUGGGAAAAGCUACAAGUGUGCUGCAGGAUGGAACAGCAUAUGACCAUGGAUCUUGAAGAAACUGUCCAAAAUAAAGUGGAAUUCUAGAAAGAAGGAGAGUGACAGUUUAGGAAAGAAAACCAAAGCAAAGGCAGAAGAGUAGAGCAGUCCUUCAGUGAAUAAGCAGGCAAAGGCAUAAACAAUAAAGAAAUUGUUUGUCAAUUACGACCGCACCAUGCUCAUUAAUGAUUACCCACUGGAAAGGCUGGGGAAGUCUGGAGGACAUUUUGGGCAGUAGUUCAGGGACCCAGGAAUCAAAGGAAGCGCAUCAAACAAAGCUGAUGCAACAAGAGCUGGGCCAAGAGGUCACCUUUGAAUCAGACGGUGGAUUUAAAAGUCCUCUUGGCCAAAUUUUGUUCCUGCAAUGCUGAAAACAAGGAGAGAUGUGACUGCCAAGAAUGGAGUCGCUCCAGACUUACAACAGUGAAAUGGCAAGAAGUGUGCUCUUGUGCGUUUUCAUCAUUUAGUAUAAAUCUAAAGAGACGCCUUGGAAUGCAGUUGGCCAAAGCUGUGGGAGGUGGUGGUGUAAUGUAAGGCUUUUUGUGCUCAUUUAUGGAUGAUUUUUAUCUGAAGCCAACACCCUCAAUCCCACCCUUUUCUCUGUAAUCUUUUCUUAAAAUAACCAGAGCUAACAUCCUGUUACUGCUUUGGGUUAGUCCCAUUCUUAACAAAGUUGUUCUUUCACCUGCUAAUAUGCUUACGCUAUUUUUCUCAUUCAUCUUCUCCCCUUUUUUUUAAUUUAUUUUUCCCAUUAGGACUUAAUGGGUGUAGCGGACUUCCUCCAGAAUCUUGUGUUUAUUUGGGGGGAAGCGGGCCAUGAUUUUAUUGGAAAUUAUUAGUAUAAUUCAUGUGGUUUGUACUCUCUGAAAGCGCCAGAGAUGAAAAAGACUUUUGUACUUUUUGCUCUUGAAAGAUCAUUGUUUCUGGCAAAGUCAUUUAGCAUUUUCCAAGCUGUGAAAUGAUAUCACUCACAGGCAAAGCACGGAAAAGGCUACAUCCAGGCAUGCCAGAGGAUACUGAGAAAUGCUAAGACAAUUUUCUAGGGAAAACCACACUGUCUGUGACAUUUGUUGUCCUUUUGGCUUUGUAAGUUUAUUAAAAAGUUGAGGAACAGGCUGGAUUCAAAUGGACUUUCCAUGUGUUGCGGAAC